UACGGAGGGUGCGAGCGUUGUCCGGAAUCAUUGGGCGUAAAGGGCGCGUAGGUGGCCCGGUCAGUCUUUGGUGAAAGCGCGGGGCUCAACCCUGCGUCGGCCAGGGAUACUGCCGCGGCUCGAGCACUGUAGAGGCAGGCGGAAUUCCGGGUGUAGCGGUGGAAUGCGCAGAUAUCAGGAGGAACACCGAUGGCGAAGGCAGAUCUCUGGGCCGUAACUGACGCUGAGGAGCGAAAGCAUGGGGAGCGAACAGG
rnacentral:rRNA from 1 species